rnacentral:rRNA from 1 species
CAGCAGUGAGGAAUAUUGCGCAAUGGACGAGAGUCUGACGCAGCAACGCCGCGUGGGUGAUGAAGGUCUUCGGAUUGUAAAACCCUGUCGUCAGGGACGAAGGCAGUGAGGUGAAUAGCCUUGCCGCUUGACGGUACCUGGAGAGGAAGCCCCGGCUAACUCUGUG